rnacentral:siRNA from 1 species
UUUUUGUUGACCUUGGUGAAUAUG